rnacentral:rRNA from 1 species
AUUGAACGCUGGCGGCAUGCCUUACACAUGCAAGUCGAACGGCAGCGGGGGAGAAGCUUGCUUUUCCUGCCGGCGAGUGGCGAACGGGUGAGUAAUACAUCGGAACGUGCCCUGUAGUGGGGGAUAACUAGUCGAAAGAUUAGCUAAUACCGCAUACGACCUGAGGGUGAAAGUGGGGGACCGCAAGGCCUCAUGCUAAAGGAGCGGCCGAUGUCUGAUUAGCUAGUUGGUGGGGUAAAGGCCUACCAAGGCGACGAUCAGUAGCUGGUCUGAGAGGACGAUCAGCCACACUGGGACUGAGACACGGCCCAGACUCCUACGGGAGGCAGCAGUGGGGAAUUUUGGACAAUGGGCGAAAGCCUGAUCCAGCAAUGCCGCGUGUGUGAAGAAGGCCUUCGGGUUGUAAAGCACUUUUGUCCGGAAAGAAAUGGCUCUGGUUAAUACCUGGGGUCGAUGACGGUACCGGAAGAAUAAGGACCGGCUAACUACGUGCCAGCCGCCGCCGUAAUAC